UGGGGAAUAUUGGACAAUUGGCGCAAGCCUGAUCCAGCCAUGCCGCGUGAGUGAUGAAGGCCCUAGGGUUGUAAAGCUCUUUCACCGGUGAAGAUAAUGACGGUAACCGGAGAAGAAGCCCCGGCUAACUUCGUGCCAGCAGCCGCGGUAAUACGAAGGGGGCUAGCGUUGUUCGGAUUUACUGGGCGUAAAGCGCACGUAGGCGGACUUUUAAGUCAGGGGUGAAAUCCCGGGGCUCAACCCCGGAACUGCCUUUGAUACUGGAAGUCUUGAGUAUGGUAGAGGUGAGUGGAAUUCCGAGUGUAGAGGUGAAAUUCGUAGAUAUUCGGAGGAACACCAGUGGCGAAGGCGGCUCACUGGACCAUUACUGACGCUGAGGUGCGAAAGCGUGGGGAGCAAACAGG
rnacentral:rRNA from 1 species